CAUGCACCAGUGGGGUCCCGCGGCCUGGCCUGCACCAUCUCGCAAUCCGGGACCCCUCAGGGGAUGUCAGAGAGCCGCCUUCAGCCCGAUCCUGCAGGCCAGGCCGAGGGACCCCACUGGUGCAUG
rnacentral:pre_miRNA from 1 species